AUGGUGGAAGGAUCCAGCUAUGUCAUAAUGCAGGGAAGGAGAAUUUCAGGCGGAAGGAACCAUAAAUGUAAGGCCCAUUGGUUGGCUUAAGGGUAGUGUGUUCUAUCUGCAAAAGGCGACCUCCCUGAUUAGAUCAUCACAAGUGAUGGGGGAAGGUGGGAAGACUCCAAGAAAAAAAGUAGGUGGUACAGACUGGACAUAAUUGUUAAGAGGAAGAAAGAAGAGAAGGAAUAGAAUCAAACCAGAGAGACAGGACCCAUACUGGCUUAAAAGGCUAAUUUUGUCAAAGUAUCUUGAAGCUGUAUUUACUUCAGUGUUGAUCCACAAGCACUCUCUCAGCCUCCAGAUAGAGUUGCUGGCUAUGGCUUUGUGAGUAAAAGCAACUGAAAGAGAAAUCCGUUCUGAUUCUAAAUAUGCAUCAAAGUGGCGAGACCCAGACCAUCUUAUCUAUUUAAAUGGAAGAUCGUUUUGAAAGAUUUUGUUUUUAGUUUGAGGCUUAACCUCAAAGAAACAGAAUUAAUAGAAGAAGGAAAUGAUCCUGGGAGAUCCUCAAUGCAGUAAUGAAUUCAACAUUCUUCAAUCAAAUUUAAAAUUUAAUUAUAGCCUACUUACCUGUGGUGACCCUGGAUUCUGUACAACUGAUUUGUUGAUACAGAAGAGAGUCAUGCAAACUACAGAAAUCCACCCAAAACCGAGAGAAGGAGAGUAUCUGUUUUCAGAGGAGCUGUCUGCUUUGGGAGGAAGUUCCAGAAGUGAGCCUCAGGAAUUACAACAUUAAUUGAGAAACUGAAUGAUUAAAAUUGUAGUAACAAAUAGCUUUCCUUGGAACUG
rnacentral:lncRNA from 1 species